rnacentral:rRNA from 1 species
CCUACGGGCGGCAGCAGUGGGGAAUAUUGGGCAAUGGGCGCAAGCCUGACCCAGCAACGCCGCGUGAAGGAAGAAGGCUUUCGGGUUGUAAACUUCUUUUGUCAGGGACGAGCAGAUGACGGUACCUGACGAAUAAGCCACGGCUAACUACGUGCCAGCAGCCGCGGUAAUACGUAGGUGGCAAGCGUUGUCCGGAUUUACUGGGUGUAAAGGGCGUGUAGCCGGGUUGACAAGUCAGAUGUGAAAUCUUGCGGCUUAACCGAAGAACUGCAUUUGAAACUGUUGUUCUUGAGUGCUGGAGAGGCAAACGGAAUUCCGGGUGUAGCGGUGAAAUGCGUAGAUAUUAGGAGGAACACCAGUGGCGAAGGCGGUCUGCUGGACAGCAACUGACGGUGAGGCGCGAAAGCGUGGGGAGCAAACAGGAUUAGAUACCCUUGUAGUC